AGGAUGACUGCUAUUGAGGAGAUGGCUGGCAUGGACGUGCUUUGCAGUGAUAAGACUGGCACACUCACCCUCAACAAGCUUAGUGUUGACAAGAACCUCGUCGAGGUGUUUUGCAAAGGCGUCGACAAAGAUCACGUGUUGCUGUUGGCUGCGAGGGCUUCAAGGACUGAGAACCAGGAUGCCAUUGAUGCUGCCAUGGUUGGAAUGCUUGCUGAUCCUAAGGAGGCUAGGGCUGGUAUCAGGGAGGUGCACUUCUUGCCCUUCAACCCAGUCGACAAGAGGACUGCGCUGACAUACAUUGAUUCUGACGGCAACUGGCACCGUGUCAGCAAGGGUGCUCCUGAGCAGGUGAGGAAUAGUUGCCUUUAUUUUAAUUGAACCAUUGCACCGAUUUGGACUUUGUUCUUUCAGCGUGACUAAUUAAUUGUUACCGUGGUGAAACCCAAAACAGAUUCUCGACCUGUGCAACUGCAGGGAGGAUAUGAGGAGGAAGGUGCACUCUAUAAUCGACAAGUAUGCUGAGCGUGGUCUUCGUUCACUUGCUGUUGCCAGACAGGUAUCCUGGGUGGUUUUCUUUACCAUUUUCUUGCAGUUUUUGUGAUCACUGAACCAUAUUCUUAUACCAAAUGUGACCUUACCACAGGAAGUACCUGAGAAAUCAAAGGACGCCUCUGGUGGACCAUGGCAAUUUGUUGGUUUGUUGCCCCUGUUUGAUCCCCCUAGGCACGACAGUGCUGAGACGAUCCGCAAGGCUCUUGUUCUUGGUGUUAACGUCAAGAUGAU
rnacentral:lncRNA from 1 species